rnacentral:tRNA from 1 species
UGCAGGGAUGCCAGAGCCUGGUCUAUUGGGCAGGGCUUAGGACCCUGUGCGCGUAGGCGCUUCGUGAGUUCAAAUCUCACUCCCUGCAU